rnacentral:sRNA from 1 species
UGUAAACUGCUUGGACCAGGACGAUUA